UGGACAUACAGGUAUUUUCUUGUCUGGUGUGCUUGCGACCACAUUAAUCAGUUGGUGUCAGACCAACACAUUUCUUCAGAGCACCCUUUUCAGAGAUGCGCCUUCCCCAUCACCAAUUUGUCUGGCGGAGGAAGCAAGGCAUCACAGUUUUUAGCUGAUGGACGAAUGUCAGCGCACAACACAUGCUUUUUUUCCUGGGAACUCACUCUGGAUUUGGUUGUGUUGGGAGAGCAGAAUUGUGUGAGUUCGUCUGACCUACAGCUUGGUUUAGGCACGUUGACGGCAACGGCUCAUAAGCCCAUCAGAAAAUCUUUGUAUCCCUGUGCUAUCUACUGUUCCUCUGUAGCAGAUUAUUGAUCAUAUGUUUUGAACUUGAUGUUUUCUUGAUUUGUCGCUUUACUUUCUAAACUUUCCACUUUUAGUUUGUGGUUGUUCAGUCACAGUGUUAUUCUGUUAUUCAGUUUUCUUUCUACUAGGUUUGUGGGGAUUCACCUCGCUCUGGUGACCUUCCUCAUGUUUUUUUGCACUGUGGUAGAUGC